GAGGGUGUAGCUCAACAGGAUAGAGCAACGGCCUUCUAAGCCGUAGGUUUAGGGUUCAAGUCCCUACAUCCUCGCCA
rnacentral:tRNA from 1 species